rnacentral:rRNA from 1 species
CUGCAGGCUGAAACUCGCCUGCACGAAGUUGGAAUUGCUAGUAAUCGCGGAUCAGCAUGCCGCGGUGAAUACGUUCCCGGGUCUUGUACACACCGCCCGUCACACCAUGGGAGCUGGUAACACCCGAAGUCAGUAGUCUAACCGCAAGGAGGACGCUGCCGAAGGUGGGAUUAGCGACUGGGGUGAAGUCGUAACAAGGUAUC